AUGGCGUGGAGGAGCCGCGGGCAGGCCCUGGAGGCAGAGCGGGCCCGGCUGCUGGGGGAGAAGUCGGUGCUGCUGGCAGCACUGGGGGUGGCCCCAGGCCAGGAGGCCUGCACACCCCAGGUCCAGGAGGUACCAGUGACCCUCAGGAGGGAGCUGGAAGCAGGAGACUCACACCCCCGGCUGCAUGCAGAGGCCGCUGAGUACUGGAAGGCACGCCGGCACCAGGUGGCCGUUGCCCUGAAAUUUAAAGAGGAGGAACUGCAGAGGCUCCAGAGGCAGGGUGGGGUCUGGCCUCCCCAGGCCCCCCAGAGGCCAGCCCAGGACUCAGCUGGGCCAAGGGCUUCUGUGAGCAGGAAGAUGGGGCAGCAGCUGGAGAGGGGCCCGCCGAAGCCGCAGCUCCGUGGACAGCCGCCCGCGGGGGCACACAGCCCUGCGGAGACCCCAGGCCGGCGCCCAGAGUCUGUGAGUGGAAGCCCCCAAGAGCUGCCAGAGUGGAGGCCUGCAGGGGAGCCGGAGUCUCCAGGGCCAGCUCUGCCAGCGGCUGAGGGGAGAGCUCAGGGACAGGCUGGGGUGCAGCUGCCACGGCCACCACCAGAGGUGAGAGAUGGCCUUGGAGAGCGGUGGCCCUCCCUGAGAUCAAGCUGGGGCCUGCGGCUGGAGGGGGAGCUGGCAGGCAGAGGAUGCAGCUCUGGUGUCCCUCUGCCAUGUGGAUCUGCCCUCUGAGGCCACAU
rnacentral:lncRNA from 1 species